UUUCAGCCAUCUUGGGCACCUCCUCUCAGGGCCUCGUCUCACCAUUAGACAUCUCGUUCCCAGUUAUAAUUUGCGAGGUUAGAUCAGGCUGCGCCAUGGCGUCCGCAGCUGCUGUCAAGAUCGCCGCCAUCUUCAUGCUGGUGCUGACCAUGGGCCACCUGAUGGCCGAAGCAUCACCGCAGCCUCGGCGUCUGCUUGCAGAAACGGAGCAUGCUGCGGUGUCCGGGAAUCCUGGCCUCCCAGGUGAUGCUAGCGUCAUGCAGGUCCUCGAACCCGCCCUAGUUUCUCCUCUUGCCUGCAAGCCAGAGUGCACAGUCCCUUGGCCUCCUUUUGUAUGUAUCUGCUAGAUCCUCUUCCUGGAUCAACGGAACUUCAGGGAAAUGGCUGUGACGUCGGCCAAAGAAUAAAUUGGCUGAACAUAAUAUACCCCGGGUAGUGUAGCUUGGGCUUUUGUUGAGCGUCUGGUACUAGUUGUAUUUUGUUUGCUCAUGUGGCUUUGUUUCUGGUUGCAUAUUGUCUUUCCUAUCGCUCUCUGUUGCAGCUAUGGUUUCUGCCAGGUGUGUGUCAAUGCGGUUUGUAAGCGGUGCUUGUUCCUACCUUCUGUUUUCAAUAAAAGAAGUCGGAGUCUCCCUCCGACUCUUGUUAUCAGUCAAGAAAAAUGAGUUGUAUCAUAUAUAUCUGCGUCUUUUUUCUAUGUAUCUCUGGGCUGCUUCAGCUGGAAGUUUAUCGUAAGUACGUGUAUCAGGAUGAUCGUUUGAAUUAAAACGAAAUGAUAAUGUGUGGCUGCUAGAAAUGGAAUGAGCAUCUUACUAUAUUACUAAUUGGAAGCCUCCACGUGAAGCCACCUAGAAAUUCUAGGUGGAUGUUUUAAAAAAAAGAAAACCAAUAGAAGCCUCCACCACCUAGGAAUCCUAGAUGGACGCUCUAAAAAGAGAGAAAUCCUAGAAAUUCUAAAAAAAGAAAAAAAAUAAUAACAAUAAGAUUUUUUUUGCAGUCAGUUACAUAUAUUUUUUUGAGACACCGUGCUGCUAGCUCUUGCCAUUGCGACCAAUAAAGCAAGCAGAUAGUAAGAUGACAUGCGUGUGGAUUGAUUAAAACAGAUUCUGUUAGUUGAUUCUAAAUCAUAUGUAUCCUAAAAGGAACUAGAUAUGUGCGUGCAUGGUCCCUAGCGAUGACAUGUAGACAUGUAUUGCAAUUUCUUUUUUAAAAAAUAUGUCUAUCUCUAAACCAACAAACAGAAAAAAUAUCAAUCUAAAUCUAAAUCUCUUCCGUUCUCACACGCCUAUUAAAGAGAACACAACCAAUCCCAUCCAUGUUCCAUAGAAUCCAUCUAAAAGCUUGCUCACUGCGGACGGCAAAUCAACGAAAGAUCAUCCUCUCCAAAUAGCUAGACGGCAUCACCAUCUUUAUCUCACCAACCUACAGAGCUACAACGAUGUUGUAGAGAUCAACUAGGUAACCUACCAAUCACCCUCCCCUUUUCUAUAUGCUCUAAAGAACACGUGGAGUAAUUAUAGGCCUAUAGGAGCCGACUAACCUAGAUUAAUAUGAAAAAUAUUCCAAUAUUAAAAGCAAGCAGAUAGUAAUACUUGCCUUUGAGCAUUUUUCAAGAACUGUUAUUCCUAUUGAAUGUUCAAGUGCUACGGCCAGGCAUCGAAUGUCUGCACGGAACCUUCCUAUUGAAUGGUUACUCUAGAGAUCAACGCACCGCGAGACAUUGUUUUUGGAAUUUGUUUGAUUCCCCUUCUACAAUUAGAUUAAUUUUUCAUGGUAUAUAUUACUACUAUUAAAUUAUUUGUUUAUUAUCUGGCCUGCUGCAUGUGUGGUAUAGAUGACUUGCUUCUCACCAUUGUUCUCAAACUGUUAUUCCUAUCCAAUCUUUCUAUCGAAAUAUAUUUUAAUUACUUGAUUGUUGUUUGUGUACCAUAACUUCUGUAUAGAAAAAUUCCAUGUUUGUAGAUAAUGUCUUUUGUAUAGAAAAAUAGCCCAAUUAGGUCCAUCACCAUCUUUUGCUUAUGUAGUUGAACAAGUUGCAAUGCUGAACAAAACUUUAAGUGAAAUUAGACUAGGAAAAGGAAUUGUGGAACAUUAAGGCAAGGGUAACCAGAUUGUGGAAUGCAACCUUACUCAGUAGUGGCGAACAAUUAAGUCUUGACAUGAUCCUUAUUGAUCAAGAGGUAUGAUAGAUGUUCACUUUGAUUGCAUUUUUGGUAUAAUUUUUGGCUUACAAAUUAUUAAUGAUGAUGCAAAAUUAGGGAACCAUGAUCCACGGUGUUAUCAAUAAGCCCUAUAUGGAAAAGUUCAAACCAUUGAUUGAAGAAGGCAAUGUGUACAUAAUUGCAAAUGUCAGAAUCACACCAGAACCACAGAAGUAUCGGCCAGUGGGAAAUGACAGGAUAGUCAACUUCUUACCCACAACUGCACUAAAAAAGGUCAAAGAUACUGAAGACAUUCCAAAGUAUAGUUUUAACUUCAUGAGCACGGAUAUGCUUUCAGCAAGAAUAAAUGUGGACAUGUACCUAUCAGAUGUUAUAGGUAUCUCAGCUCACAUUGGACCGAUAGAAGAAACAAGGACAAACUUCGGAUUUACCAAAAUCCGUGAUAUUGUGCUCCUGAUCGAUUAAAGUUAGAUUUUGGGGAGACAAAGUUGAGGAAGUUGAUGAUAAGACAAAAUCCCAUGUCAUUGCAAUAACAUCUACAACUGUGAGGAAAUUUGGCAGGUAUUCUCUAUCGUCAACCAAUGCAACAAAAGUUUAUGUAGAUCUACCUAUUCCUGAAACUAAGGAUGCGCAUGAUAGUUCAAUUGAUAAUAUUGUCAAAGAGAUUCAUUAUUGAGGACCAUCUAAAAGGGAUAUUGGAAGACCAAAUGCAGUACAAUAGAAGAACUUUAGAAGAAUUAAAUUUGAUAUUAUUUGAAACAUCAAAUCAGGAUGAGGUAUUUACGAUGAGGUAUUUACUAUUGAAGCAACAAUAAAUGAAAUUAAUGCAACAUAUGGUUGGUACUACAUCUCAUGUAGUAGAGGCGAUUGUAAGAAGCAACUUGAAAAGAAGUUUCAUCACUACUAUUGCAAUAAAUGUGACAAGAGAGCCGAACCUAAAGCAUGGUAAAUUAUUUAGUAGUUUACAAUCUUAUUAUAAUACUUCUAUUUCUAAUUGGAGAAUAAUAUUUGCAAAUUCAAAAUUAAGCUUCAAAUAAGUGAUCCAACAACAAGUGCAACUUCUGUACUUUUGACAAGGAAGCAGAAAUGAUAAUUAAUGAAUGAGCAGAUUCGAUGAUCACCUCCGUUGAUCAUGAUAAUAAGUAGCUACCAAAAUCAACUAUGCAAAAAGUAGGAACAGAUCUUAAUCGGCUAUGCAAAAAGUAGUAAAUUGAGCAAUAAGAUAUAAAAAAGCUGACAGUCCUAAUUCCAAGCUGUAUAA